AGUGAACGCUGGCGGUAGGCCUAACACAUGCAAGUCGAACGGCAGCACAGUAAGAGCUUGCUCUUACGGGUGGCGAGUGGCGGACGGGUGAGGAAUACAUCGGAAUCUACUUUUUCGUGGGGGAUAACGUAGGGAAACUUACGCUAAUACCGCAUACGACCUACGGGUGAAAGCAGGGGAUCUUCGGACCUUGCGCGAUUGAAUGAGCCGAUGUCGGAUUAGCUAGUUGGCGGGGUAAAGGCCCACCAAGGCGACGAUCCGUAGCUGGUCUGAGAGGAUGAUCAGCCACACUGGAACUGAGACACGGUCCAGACUCCGACGGGAGGCAGCAGUGGGGAAUAUUGGACAAUGGGCGCAAGCCUGAUCCAGCCAUACCGCGUGGGUGAAGAAGGCCUUCGGGUUGGAGAGCCCUUUUGUUGGGAAAGAAAAGCAGCAGGUUAAUACCCCGCUGUUCUGACGGUACCCAAAGAAUAAGCACCGGCUAACUUCGUG
rnacentral:rRNA from 1 species